GACGAACGCUGGCGGCGUGCUUAACACAUGCAAGUCGAGCGGAGCGGCGAACGGGUGAGUAACGCGUGAGUAACCGCCCCCCUCUCUGGGAUAACAGUUGGAAACGGCUGCUAAUACCGGAUAGUGGGGGAUGACUCGCGUCCUAUCAGCUUGUUGGUGGGGUAGUGGCCUCCCAAGGCGACGACGGGUAGCCGGCCUGGGAGGGGGACCGGCCACAAGGGGCUGAGAGACGGCCCAGAGGGCAACGGGGGGCAGCAGUGGGGAAUAUUGCACAAUGGGGGAAACCCUGAUGCAGCAACGCCGCGUGCGGGAUGACGGCCUUGGGGUGGGAAACCGCUUUCAGCCAAGACGCGGUAGUGGCAGAAGAAGCACCGGCUAACUACGUGCCAGCCGCCGCGGUAAUAC
rnacentral:rRNA from 1 species